AGUAGGGGAUGUAUAUCUAUAGAUCUAUAGAAAUCUUAAAAAUCUGAUGUAUAAUCUAAGGCAAUUAUACAUGUGCUGGAAUAACCAUCCUUAAUGUUUACAAUAAACCUCCGGAAUCUUCCACUCUAAACUCUAAUUAACCUCUGGUUAUGUAAUCAAUGAAUGGAAAUAGGAUCAGUUUGGCACUACCCAUCCUUUCCCUGACUUGAGUUUUCGAAGCUGCGUGGACGUGUUUACAGCUAGAUUUAAAUAAAUUUGUAUUAGACUGCAAUUUCUCAACACUGAAAAAUGUAAGUAGAUCUAGAGUUUUUUACUUUAAUCUUUUAAAAAAAAACCCUUCUCAUAUAGUAAUGUAUUUAAACCUGCAUUUAAAACCUGUUAUACUAUCCACGUGACCAGGUCAUGUGAUUAAUACAAAAUGGCGGAUUGGUAAAGAUGUUUUCAGGUAAACAAGCCAGAAUGAAUUUGAUUUUUGUAAUGAAAUUAAAACCAUUUAAUUAUAUCAAUGUUUAUCAGCUUAAAAUAUGAUAUGUGCAUAGUUUUACAUCUGAAUUUAUUGUGAUAACUGCAAAAAAGUUGCAAGUUAGUACAAACUGACAAGCUACAAUUAGCACUGCAGUAUUAAGCUCAUACAAUCUGCUCUGAGUAUAAAUAGGUAAUUAUGAUUGAUUAUGAAUUAUUUGCAAAUUUCUGCUUUGUUACUAGACUUUUUAACAGUUACACUACUCAUUUUAGUAGAGUGUAUACGAAACUUUGUGUAAAUUUAAUUUGAAGUGUAACUUCGCAUUAAACACAAAUUACUUUACCCGACUGCAAAAAUUGUUUUUAUUUCAUUUCAGACAGCAAAUUUAUGUCUAAUUGGAGGAGAUAGUGUGGAGAGCAAUGUUCGCUGUGUUAUGUCUCACACUUUGUCUCAGGAAGUUGCCCUAGAAUACAACUGGGUUGGAAAAGGCUCGAAAAAACCAUUCGAAAAACUUAGACUUAAAAAAGUCAUAUUAGAUGCUGUAAGAGGAAGUAGACAGGGGUCUAUGAGAAGAGGCAAUGAAGGAGUCGCUAAGAUAUGCCAAGGAUAGGGAAGGCGGGCGGAGGAAGAGAUUGACUAAAAAGUUGCAACAACAAAGAUAAGAAAAUGAAAAUGAUAUGUGAACAACAUUUAGUAAUAAAUUGUAGUAAUUAG